GUGGGGAAUAUUGGACAAUGGGCGAAAGCCUGAUCCAGCCAUGCCGCGUGUGUGAAGAAGGUCUUCGGAUUGUAAAGCACUUUAAGUUGGGAGGAAGGGCAGUAAGUUAAUACCUUGCUGUUUUGACGUUACCGACAGAAUAAGCACCGGCUAACUUCGUGCCAGCAGCCGCGGUAAUACGAAGGGUGCAAGCGUUAAUCGGAAUUACUGGGCGUAAAGCGCGCGUAGGUGGUUUUGUAAGUUGGAGGUGAAAUCCCCGGGCUCAACCUGGGAACUGGCUCCAAAACUGCAUGACUAGAGUACGGUAGAGGGUAGUGGAAUUUCCUGUGUAGCGGUGAAAUGCGUAGAUAUAGGAAGGAACACCAGUGGCGAAGGCGACUACCUGGACUGAUACUGACACUGAGGUGCGAAAGCGUGGGGAGCAAACAGGAUUAGAUACCCGUGUAGUCC
rnacentral:rRNA from 1 species